rnacentral:lncRNA from 1 species
UUCAUUCAAGUCAAUUGUGUGAACAGGAGGAACGUGCAAUCAGAUUGGACCUAGUGCUUGGAACAGUAAUGCUCCAACCUGUGCUGAUAGUGCACAACAACUUUGAAGCAAACCCCUUGGUGGAGGAGACCUGUGUCACUCACAUGUUGCAUUGCUGAAAUUCAGAUAUUUUCCUGCUUUCUCCUCCUAAGAGCUCUGAAAUAUAAACCCUGCAGAAAGAAGUUCAGAGGUGGCUUUUGCCUUGGCUGUACUCCUUGGAACUGGUAAAAGGCAAACAAAGAGAGGAAGAAGCUUGAAAACCAUUACCUGUCUACUGCCUUCAGUCCUGCCAAGAGCUGCUGUGCCAAGAUAUUUUGUACCUCAAAGAUUUCUCCUCAUUUAAUACACUGGAAUCUCAGUGACCCCAGCAGAAAGAAAGCUGUUUGAAGUGUACUUGAGUGGAAGAAAAACAGAAGGUGUGUCCGAAGUAGCUU